rnacentral:rRNA from 1 species
CAUCCCUUUUUUUUAAGGGAUAGGGUCGGUUCGGCCGGAUUUUACACAAGUGUUGCAUGGCUGUCGUCAGCUCGUGUCGUGAGAUGUUGGGUUAAGUCCCGCAACGAGCGCAACCCUCAUCCUUAGUUGCUAUCAGGUAAUGCUGAGUACUUUAAGGAAACUGCCAGUGAUAAGCUGGAGGAAGGUGGGGAUGAUGUCAAGUCAUCAUGGCCUUUAUGGAGUGGGCUACACACGUGCUACAAUGGUGUCUACAAUGGGCUGCAAGGUGCGCAAGCCUAAGCUAAUCCCUAAAAGACAUCUCAGUUCGGAUUGUACUCUGCAACUCGAGUACAUGAAGUUGGAAUCGCUAGUAAUCGUGGAUCAGCAUGCCACGGUGAAUACGUUCUCGGGUCUUGUACACACUGCCCGUCACGCCAUGGGAAUUGGUUUCCUUUCGAAAG